UACGUAGGGGGCAAGCGCUGUCCGGAUUUAUUGGGCGUAAAGAGCGUGUAGGCGGCCAUGCAGGUCAGCUGUGAAAACUCGAGGCUCAACCUCGAGACGUCGGUUGAAACCGUAUGGCUAGAGUCCGGAAGAGGAGAGUGGAAUUCCCGGUGUAGCGGUGAAAUGCGCAGAUAUCGGGAGGAACACCAGUGGCGAAGGCGGUUGCCUGGAGCUUUGCUGACGCUGAUGCGCGAAAGCGUGGGGAGCGAUCCGG
rnacentral:rRNA from 1 species